rnacentral:rRNA from 1 species
GAUGAACGCUGGCGGCGUGCCUAAUACAUGCAAGUCGAGCGAACAGACGAGGAGCUUGCUCCUCUGACGUUAGCGGCGGACGGGUGAGUAACACGUGGAUAACCUACCUAUAAGACUGGGAUAACUUCGGGAAACCGGAGCUAAUACCGGAUAAUAUAUUGAACCGCAUGGUUCAAUAGUGAAAGACGGUUUUGCUGUCACUUAUAGAUGGAUCCGCGCCGCAUUAGCUAGUUGGUAAGGUAACGGCUUACCAAGGCAACGAUGCGUAGCCGACCUGAGAGGGGGAUCGGCAACACUGGACCUGAGACACGGUCCAGCCUCCUACGGGAGGCAGCAGUAGGGAAUCUCCGCAAUGGGCGAAAGCCUGACGGAGCAACGCCGCGUGAGUGAUGAAGGUCUUCGGAUCGUAAAACUCUGUUAUUAGGGAAGAACAAAUGUGUAAGUAACUAUGCACGUCUUGACGGUACCUAAUCAGAAAGCCACGGCUAACUACGUG